rnacentral:rRNA from 1 species
UACGUAGGGGGCUAGCGUUGUCCGGAAUCAUUGGGCGUAAAGCGCGUGUAGGCGGCUCGAUAAGUCCGGUGUGAAACCUUGGGGCUCAACCCCAAGCCUGCACUGGAUACUGUCGAGCUCGAGUCCGGGAGGGGAGAGCGGAAUCCUGGUGUAGCGGUGAAAUGCGUAGAUAUCUGGAGGAACACCGGUGGCGAAGGCGACAUCCUGGACCGGUAUUGACGCUGAGUGAGCGAAAGCCAGGGGAGCAAACGGG